AGUGAACGCUGGCGGUAGGCCUAACACAUGCAAGUCGAACGGCAGCACAGUAAGAGCUUGCUCUUACGGGUGGCGAGUGGCGGACGGGUGAGGAAUACAUCGGAAUCUACUUUUUCGUGGGGGAUAACGUAGGGAAACUUACGCUAAUAUCGCAUACGACCUACGGGUGAAAGCAGGGGAUCUUCGGACCUUGCGCGAUUGAAUGAGCCGAUGUCGGAUUAGCUAGUUGGCGGGGUAAAGGCCCACCAAGGCGACGAUCCGUAGCUGGUCUGAGAGGAUGAUCAGCCACACUGGAACUGAGACACGGUCCAGACUCCUACGGGAGGCAGCAGUAGGGAAUAUUGGACAAUGGGCGCAAGCCUGAUCCAGCCAUACCGCGUGGGUGAAGAAGGCCUUCGGGUUGUAAAGCCCUUUUGUUGGGAAAGAAAAGCAGCAGGUUAAUACCCCGCUGUUCUGACGGUACCCAAAGAAUAAGCACCGGCUAACUUCGUG
rnacentral:rRNA from 1 species